rnacentral:rRNA from 1 species
UGGGGAAUUUUGGACAAUGGGGGCAACCCUGAUCCAGCCAUCCCGCGUGUGCGAUGAAGGCCUUCGGUUGUAAAGCACUUUUGGCAGGGAAGAAACAGCCUGGGAUAAUACCCCGGGCGACUGACGGUACCUGCAGAAUAAGCACCGGCUAACUACGUGCCAGCAGCCGCGGUAAUACGUAGGGUGCAAGCGUUAAUCGGAAUUACUGGGCGUAAAGCGUGCGCAGGCGGUUCGGAAAGAAAGGUGUGAAAUCCCAGGGCUUAACCUUGGAACUGCACUUUUAACUACCGAGCUAGAGUACGUCAGAGGGGGGUAGAAUUCCACGUGUAGCAGUGAAAUGCGUAGAGAUGUGGAGGAAUACCGAUGGCGAAGGCAGCCCCCUGGGAUGAUACUGACGCUCAUGCACGAAAGCGUGGGGAGCAAACAGGAUUAGAUACCCUGGUAGUCCACGCCCUAAACCGAUGUCAACUAGCUGUUGGGGUUUAUUAACCUUAGUAGCGCAGCUAACGCGUG